rnacentral:rRNA from 1 species
UUAUUGGGCGUAAGGGCUCGCAGGCGGUUUCUUAAGUCUGAUGUGAAAGCCCCCGGCUCAACCGGGGAGGGUCAUUGGAAACUGGGGAACUUGAGUGCAGAAGAGGAGAGUGGAAUUCCACGUGUAGCGGUGAAAUGCGUAGAGAUGUGGAGGAACACCAGUGGCGAAGGCGACUCUCUGGUCUGUAACUGACGCUGAGGAGCGAAAGCGUGGGGAGCGAACAGGAUUAGAUACCCUGGUAGUCCACGCCGUAAACGAUGAGUGCUAAGUGUUAGGGGGUUUCCGCCCCUUAGUGCUGCAGCUAACGCAUUAAGCACUCCGCCUGGGGAGUACGGUCGCAAGACUGAAACUCAAAGGAAUUGACGGGGGCCCGCACAAGCGGUGGAGCAUGUGGUUUAAUUCUAAGCAACGCGAAGAACCUUACCAGGUCUUGACAGCGCUGACAAUCCUAGAUAUAGGACGUCCCCUUCGGGGGCAGAGUGACAGGUGGUGCAUGGUUGUCGU